rnacentral:tRNA from 1 species
GGCGGGGUAGCUCAGUUGGUUAGAGCGAGGGACUCAUAAGCCCUAGGUCGCCGGUUCAACUCCGGCCCCCGCUACCA